UCCUUGGUGGUCCAGUGGUUAAGACUCUGUGCUCCCAAUGCAGGGCGCCAGGGUUUGAACCCUGGUCAGGGAA
rnacentral:tRNA from 1 species